CAACUAAUUUUGUGUGUGUUGUGU
rnacentral:siRNA from 1 species